rnacentral:rRNA from 1 species
AUUGAACGCUGGCGGCAUGCUUUACACAUGCAAGUCGAACGGUAACAGGCCGCAAGGUGCUGACGAGUGGCGCACGGGUGAGUAAUGCAUCGGAACGUGCCCAGCCGUGGGGGAUAACUACUCGAAAGAGUAGCUAAUACCGCAUACGAUCUAUGGAUGAAAGCGGGGGACCGUAAGGCCUCGCGCGAUUGGAGCGGCCGAUGUCAGAUUAGGUAGUUGGUGGGGUAAAGGCUCACCAAGCCAACGAUCUGUAGCUGGUCUGAGAGGACGACCAGCCACACUGGGACUGAGACACGGCCCAGACUCCUACGGGAGGCAGCAGUGGGGAAUUUUGGACAAUGGGCGCAAGCCUGAUCCAGCAAUGCCGCGUGCAGGAAGAAGGCCUUCGGGUUGUAAACUGCUUUUGUACGGAACGAAACGGCUCUGGUUAAUACCCGGGGCUAAUGACGGUACCGUAAGAAUAAGCACCGGCUAACUACGU